rnacentral:rRNA from 1 species
AACGCGAAGAACCUUACCUGGGCUUGAACCGCACAGGACCAGCUUUAGAAAUAGAGCCUUCCCGCAAGGGACCUGUGUAGAGGUGCUGCAUGGCUGUCGUCAGCUCGUGCCGUGAGGUGUUGGGUUAAGUCCCGCAACGAGCGCAACCCUUACUCUUAGUUGCCACCCGCAAGGGGGAACUCUAGGAGGACUGCUCCGGAUAACGGAGAGGAAGGUGGGGAUGAGGUCAAGUCAGCAUGGCCUUUAUGUCCAGGGCUACACACGUGUUACAAUGCGCGCUACAAAGUGCCGCGAACCCGCGAGGGGGAGCUAAUCGCAAAAAAGCGCGCUCAGUUCGGAUUGCAGUCUGCAACUCGACUGCAUGAAGCUGGAAUCGCUAGUAAUGGCGCAUCAGAUCGGCGCCGUGAAUACGUUCCCGGGCCUUGUA